rnacentral:lncRNA from 10 species
UCUCCAAUCUUAAUCUCACUCACAACAUCCUGAGUAUGCCUGUCAUUUCAAUUCUACAUUAAUUCUACAUUAGCAUCUUCAAAAAAUCAUUUUUGUGUGCCCACGUUCCUGGUAUAAUAAGGAAUAUAAAACAACAGUGGAUAAUAACUUGCAGUAAGUUCUUACUAUUUGUCACAUUCUUCGUGCAUUUUCUUAAACUUCAACCUAAACAUCAACACUAAGAGGUAGGUUCCCAUAUUAUGUCCGCAUAAAGCAGAUAUAUUGCACAGAU